rnacentral:lncRNA from 1 species
ACUGGAUUUAAAAUCAUUCCCAGAAAGGUGUUUAUCUCUUAUCUGUUUUCAUGGAACACUUGCUUGAACCCUGCUAAAGACACACAAUCAUACUGAUGGACAACUGUAGUGUUUGAAAUGAGAGGUAUCCUCCAUAGGCUAUGUAUUUGAACACUUGUUUCCCAGUUGGUUAUGUUUAGAGAGGCUAUGAAUCUGUUAGGAGGUGUGACUCUGUUAAAGGAUGCCACACAGGGUGGUCAAUGAGAAUUUAGAGCCUUACCAAACUUCCAGUUCACUCUUCUGCUUCCCACAUGUGAAUGGAGAGUGACAUCUCAGCUUGCUGUUCUGGACACCUGCUGCCAUGCCUCCUGUAACUGGUUGAUCUGAUGCUGUUUGUAAUCCUCAAGUCUGCAGUCCAAUUCCCAACAAUGGUUCAGUAGUAGCUGUGAAUAGAAGUCCAAGCAUCUAGCAGUUACUCAGUCCCACAUGGCAAGCAGGCAAGGGAGCAAGAGCGAGACUCCCUUCUUCCAAUGUCCUUAUAUUGUCUCCAGCAGGUGUAGCCCAGAUUAAAGGUACACAGAGUCACAUCCAGCUUUUCUGGGACCCAAACUCAAGACCUCAUAAUGAGCAUCACAGAAGGCCCAUUCAGCCCAAGCUAUACAGUGGACUCCUUUAAAAAGCCAACCAACAAUAAUAAAUAGUGCUUGCCUUCCACUCU